GGAAGUCAGAGAUCUGGGUUUCAGCAGUCAGUCUGGAAACAAGCAACCUGGAACAAAGUGGGCACAGACCUUGAAGAUCACAUCACGCUCCCCAGUGGACCAGCUUCGGCAGAUAAGAAAAAACCCUAGGCGCAGCAAAGAAGACAUGUUCCGCGACGUGCUGCAGCGCGAUGAGAGACAGACCAGGGAACAGAAAGAGUGCUGGGAAGCCGUAAGGAAGGACAGAAAAGUGAAUGCUGCUUUUGCUAGGCAAGCAACAGAGUGGAUGAUAGAAGUUAUGGAGGAUCAGACAGAGACGCUCAAGUCUUUGAUACAGCAGUAGACUGAGCAGAUUCGUGGCCAACCUCCACUGCAGCAUAUGCAGAUACACAGUUCUUUUCCAACUCCACACCCCUCUAUGCCCACACAUUCCUUUUCACUUUACAGCACUCCUGAGUUUCCCCAUCACUCCAUCCCCUCUCACAGCUCGCAUAAUGAUAGAUGGAGCUACAUACAGUUGUGAGGUUUUAUCCUUUUUAACAAUAAAUAAAGGCUAAGGUA